rnacentral:lncRNA from 1 species
AAUAAAAUUAAUUUUUAAAAUAAGAUAAUUAUAUUUUAAGCCAAAUUUUCAUAAAAGUGGAGUUCUACAAUGGGAGCGUGGACUAAUCAUGCACAAAACCCGAUCCUUCCAUGAAUGGAGCUCAAUCAUUUCCAAAUAGGAACACGGUCAUUCUUAGAUGGGGGUGCGAUCGUGUUGUUGAUGGGAGCACGAUCCUAAGGAAUAU